rnacentral:rRNA from 1 species
AACGAACGCUGGCGGCAUGCCUAACACAUGCAAGUCGAACGAGACCUUCGGGUCUAGUGGCGCACGGGUGCGUAACGCGUGGAAACCUGCCCUUAGGUUCGGAAUAACUCCCCGAAAGGGGUGCUAAUACCGGAUAAUGUCUUCGGACCAAAGAUUUAUCGCCUUUGGAUGGGCCCGCGUUGGAUUAGCUAGUUGGUAGGGUAAAAGCCUACCAAGGCGACGAUCCAUAGCUGGUCUGAGAGGAUGAUCAGCCACACUGGGACUGAGACACGGCCCAGACCCCUACGGGAGGCAGCAGUGGGGAAUAUUGGACAAUGGGCGAAAGCCUGAUCCAGCAAUGCCGCGUGAGUGAUGAAGGCCUUAGGGUUGUAAAGCUCUUUUACCCGGGAUGAUAAUGACAGUACCGGGAGAAUAAGCUCCGGCUAACUCCGU